rnacentral:rRNA from 1 species
GACGAACGCUGGCGGCGUGCUUAACACAUGCAAGUCGAGCGGAAAGGCCCUUCGGGGUACUCGAGCGGCGAACGGGUGAGUAACACGUGAGUAACCUGCCCCAGACUUUGGGAUAACCCUCGGAAACGGGGGCUAAUACCGGAUACGACACAGCUUCGCAUGGGGUCUGUGUGGAAAGUUUUUCGGUUUGGGAUGGGCUCGCGGCCUAUCAGCUUGUUGGUGGGGUGAUGGCCUACCAAGGCGACGACGGGUAGCCGGCCUGAGAGGGCGACCGGCCACACUGGGACUGAGACACGGCCCAGACUCCUACGGGAGGCAACAGUGGGGAAUAUUGCACAAUGGGCGGAAGCCUGAUGCAGCGACGCCGCGUGGGGGAUGACGGCCUUCGGGUUGUAAACCUCUUUCAGCAGGGACGAAGCGUAAGUGACGGUACCUGCAGAAGAAGCGCCGGCCAACUACGU